CUUCCACCUUAACGGACAGUUACCCAGUGAAAAAUACUAUUACCCUGAGGAGAUUGCCAAGCUGUGAGAAGCCCAAGGUACACGGAGGACCUUGUCAAAAUAAAAUCAGGUCAAGAAAGAAAAGAAAUGUCCUUUUUCUUGUGGAAAGGAAACAGGUUCCAGGCCUUCAUGAUCAGCAUCUACAAACUCUGUCACUUCUUUUGGUUUGAGAAGAGAGAGGGUUGGUUAUUUGCUCAGCAGGAAGAAGUUUGGAGAGGUUGAUUGUCUCUAAAAGAAAAAGCAUCUAACUUUGGAAAUUCCACCAAAAGUCAAGUUCAGAUGGAGAUCAUUUGAUGUGCCAGGGGCCAACUGACAGAUGCAGAAGAUACUUAUGAGAACACAGCGCAGAGGAAUGUUAUCAAUAUGACCAAAGGGACAAUACCAGGAAUGAAAAGUACCCCUAAGCAAGAGUUAACCAACUAAGUAGAUCAAUUGAUUGUGCCUUCUUUAUCAGCUCAUGGUUCUUCACGAGCGUUUUAUUGAAAAUAAAAAAUAAUAAUUAAAACAAAACACAAACGAACAAACAUAAAACAGCUCCAGGAUUUCCAGGAUCUUCUGACUUCACAAGAUGCCAAGAGAAUGGAGUCUCCUGAUUUUGGUCUGUGAACCUCCGAGACUGAACCAUUCUUGGACCCCUAGGAAAGGCCUGCCCCUGCUGAGUGACACUCAUUGAUUCCAGACGGUUCUCUUUGAACAGAAGAACUGCCCAGCUAAGCCCUGCCUGAACUCCUGGCCCAGAAAAUUAUGAUACAUGUAAAAUUAUUGUUGUUGUUGUUGUUUUGCUUUUUUAAGUUAUUGCUGUUUUAAGUCACUAGGUUUUGGAGUAACUAGUGUUACUACAAUAAGUAAUCCAAACCCUCUCCUCUGACCUUGUGCUGUCUGUAAAAUUAAUUUGACAACUAAUAAUUUAUAAUCUUGCAACUCAAUGUUUAUUGCUGACUUACAUUUCAAUUUAAAUAUUUCUCUGUCAUUCAAUUUGUGAGAUAAUUGUAUCUUCUGUACCAAUUAGAAUGUAUUUUUAUGUAUCUCCAAACUAUCAUAUAAAUACCAUUCCCAAGGUACUGCAUUUUAUUUACUAGAAAGUUAGUGUAAACAAAACAUUUGCUUCUUUUUUGCUAAAAUUUAUAUUGUGUCUUCAAAAGAAUUCUAUAAAAUCUUUCUCCCCCUCUCAGUAUAUAAGCUGUUCUUGAAUGAAAAAUGUAUAACAGAGUCCAGGGAAGAUAUGAAAAUUAUAAGGGAAUUUAUGUGCAUAGGUUGCCUCUUAAUGAAAAUAUUUUAUUUUUUAAUUACUAGAGAAAAACAUGUAUGAAAUAGUAAUUGGUACAAAGGUACAAAAAUAGAGGUAAGAAUUUACUAGUGAGCUGGAUGUGGUGACACACACCCAUACCAGCACACAGGAGGCUGAGUCAGGGGAAGCAUUUCAAAUUUGAGACAAGCCUGGGCUAAAAAGUGAGCUCAAGGCCAGCCUGAUCUGGGUAAUGAGACCCUAUCUCAAAAAAAAAAAAAAAAAAAAAAAAAAAAAGACUUACUAGUGGUCAUUAGUAUAAAAAAUAAAUAAACAAAAAAGGCAAAUACUGUUGUACUCUAAGAAAAUAGCUUCAUUACAUGUGUAUUAUAGCAAACCUGUAAAGUGGAUUACUAAAUGGUUUUUUUUAUCCUUUUUCCCUAACUGAUAUGUUAAGUGACCUAAUUGAUAUGUUGAACAGCACUCUCCUCUGUAAAGAAUUGCAAGAAUCUCACCUAAUUGAUAUGUUAACCAUUGUUGCCCUCUACAAACUACAGAAGUUGUGCUAAAACAAGCUAACAAGGGUUGUUAAUCACUGUUAGGCGCCUCUAUUCUCCGCUAAAGAGCUAAAGAAAACUAGAAUGGCCCACUAAUUUAUACUUGUUUAAAGUAACCUGCUUGUGUGCAGAGAGAUUUGCGUAUGAGUUUAACCCUUUACCCUGACCUUGACACAUAACCGCCGUUUUCUCUUCUGUAUGGCACCUUAUUGCCUCCCUCUCCCCUCACCUAUCUAUCUAGGCCAUAAAGAAUUUGGGUUUCUGGUGACCUCCUCCCAACCCGGUGAUGAUCUGUCAUAGAAUGAGCCUGCCCCAAAUUUUAAGAACUGUUUAGCUUCAAAGAAACUACCAGGAAAUACUAUGGCCCAAACCCCAAUCGGUGCUUUCCUUUUGUUCUGUAUGCAUCAAAUGAGUUAGAUAUCAGAUCUUUGUAAAACUUAAGUUUCAGCUUCUUGUAACUCUUGACCCCUUCGCACCCACUAGCGAAAACGAGCUGUCCUGGGAUAAUUAACUGUCCACUUUCUUCUCCAAAUAUUGCUGCAGAUGUGCCACUCUGAGAUAAUGUCAGUCUGUAGGAUGGGAGUAAUUUGAGAAACACCAGGAACUCCCGAGAUUGUCAGAGCUAAGUGGACAGCAAUAGUUUCCAGACUUGGGUCAACAAGUUUGAUGGCCCUGCAAGUUUCUUUGUUUCUCCCCCCACCCUUUUCCUCCAGCCUCUUUUUAAAGUCCUCCCUUCAGUCUCUGGGACACAGUCUCCAAAUUGGCUCCCGGAGACUGGUCGCCAGGCCUGGAAAUAAAGCCUUUGCCACCUAAA